UGACCGCUCCAAUAGCCUAGUGGUUAGAGCAUCUAUCUCAGAUGUGGGAGGUCGUGGGUUCAAACCCCCGCCUAGUCAU